UUACGACCAUAUCACGUUGAAACACCAGUUCUCGUCCGAUCACUGACAUCAAACAACAUUGUGCCUGGUCAGUAUAUAGAUAGGUAACCGCUUGGGAAUGCCAGAUGCU